rnacentral:piRNA from 1 species
UUCAAGUUUGCUUAGAGGUGUAUGUGUGU